AUUGAACGCUGGCGGCAUGCUUUACACAUGCAAGUCGAACGGUAGCAGGGUGCUUGCACCGCUGACGAGUGGCGAACGGGUGAGUAAUGCGUCGGAACGUGCCGAGUAGUGGGGGAUAACGCAGCAAAAGUUGUGCUAAUACCGCAUACGUACUGAGGUAGAAAGUGGGGGACCUUCGGGCCUCACGCUAUUCGAGCGGCCGACGUCUGAUUAGCUAGUAGGUGAGGUAAAGGCUCACCUAGGCGACGAUCAGUAGCGGGUCUGAGAGGAUGAUCCGCCACACUGGGACUGAGACACGGCCCAGACUCCUACGGGAGGCAGCAGUGGGGAAUUUUGGACAAUGGGCGAAAGCCUGAUCCAGCCAUGCCGCGUGUCUGAAGAAGGCCUUCGGGUUGUAAAGGACUUUUGUCGGGGAGGAAAUCCCCAGCGUUAAUACCGCUGGGGGAUGACAGUACCUGAAGAAUAAGCACCGGCUAACUACGUGCCAGCCGCCGCCGUAACAC
rnacentral:rRNA from 1 species